rnacentral:lncRNA from 1 species
UACCUAAGCAGCUGGAGGCCAGGUUUGCAGAACCCAGUGACCUCAAGGACCUGCCUGGGGAUUUUUGAGCUUCUAGGUGUGACUAAGAUGACUAAGUAUAAGACUUUAUUCUGACGUUCUGGACCGAUGGUGAAGACAGGCCAUCCUGGACAAACAAGGGCCAGCGUCCAGUUGAAAAGAAGAACCGCCUAAUGACCGCAGGUCCACCCCAGUGGGGAUUCUGCAGGCACCGUCACCGGCAGCUUAGAGAAGAGAGAGCCAUCAUCCCGACGGCCGUGGAAAUCGUCAUCGAGCGAAUGGCGGGUCCAGCCUCGAGAGGCACAGCGGUCGCUUCCGGAUUCGGGCGUUCCCUCCAUGAUGCCACCCUAAAGGUUGGGGGGAAAGCAGGCCCUUCCGCCAGGCACUCCAGCCCCUGUCCCACCGACCAGGUCAUGCUGCUUCCCAGGAGACGUCCUCUGGAAUUCUUGGACUUCAGCAGUUCCACUCUACUGGGGACGCUCUGCUUUGCCUGUGGUUUUUGAGAGGGAAGACUACGUUAAAGAUGUUCUGCUCUAUCUGGUCUCCCUACAACCGCCUUCUUAGCCAUCAGCCCCUUCAUGUCCCUCCACCUGUGGGAGUAGGCAGUCUAGUGCCUGUGAUCUGUGACCCCUCAUGACCUCUGUGAUCCCCCUCCCCCAAAACACACACACACACACAUGGAUCCAGAGUUGGACUUGGGGUUUUCUUACUCUUCCCAUGCUUGCCCUUUUCUCUGUCCCGAUCAAGUCUUGGAUGAUUUCUCUUUGGCUUAAUUCGGUGGUAUUUACCGAGCACUUACUGUGUGCAGAGCACUGUAAAAGUGAUUGGAAGAGUACGACAGAAUUAACAGACACAUUCCCUGCCCACAGUGAGCUUACAGUCUAGGGGGGGAGACAGACAGGAAUGCAAAUAAAUAAAAUUAGAGAUAUGUACAUAAGUGCUGUGGAGAAGAGCAAAGAGAACAAGUCAGGGCAACACAGAAGGGAGUGGGAGGUGAGGAAAGAUGGGGCUUAGACUGGGAAGGCCUCUUGGAGGAGAUUUGCCUUCAGUAAGGCUUUGAAGACGGGGGAGAGUCACUGUGGGAUUUGAGGAAGGAGGACGUAGGCUGGGGGUCGGCGGCGAGAUCGAGGCACAGUGAGAAGGUUAGCCUAGAGGAGCGAAUUGUGGGCUGGGUUGUAGACG